GACGUAGGGCGCAAGCGUUGUCCGGAUUUAUUGGGCGUAAAGAGCUCGUAGGCGGCUUGUCGCGUCGACUGUGAAAACCCGCGGCUUAACUGCGGGACUGCAGUCGAUACGGGCAGGCUAGAGUUCGGUAGGGGAGACUGGAAUUCCGUGGUGUAGCGGUGAAAUGCGCAGAUAUCAGGAGGAACACCGGUGGCGAAGGCGGGUCUCUGGGCCGAUGACUGACGUGAGGAGCGAAAGCGUGGGGAGCGAACAGGA
rnacentral:rRNA from 1 species